rnacentral:ncRNA from 1 species
UUAGUUUGAUUCUGACUAAAAGAUUAGUACUUCUUAAUAUUUCUUAUGCUAAAAUUAAAGUAAAUCAUAAAUCCAUCUAAGAUAUAACAAUUAUGAGAUAUUCUUUACAGCAGUGGUUGGAGUUGUAAUCAUAUACUAACGUGUGAAACAAUUUAAAAACUGUAAUUAGCCUAAGUCGUGCCAGCAGCAGCGGUUAAACGACGAAUAGCUAACAAACAAAAUCUUUCAAGAUAUAAUAAACCUAACUAAAGGUCUAAUUUCCAUUUACAAGGACCCAUGAAUAUCAUAAAUAAACUACUCACUCAAAACAAGGAUUAGAUACCCUUUUAUUUUUAACCUGAACUAAGAUUGGAGACUACGAGCAAUAGCUUAAAAACCCAAGAUUUUGGCGGUGUUUUAUUCUAUCAGGGGGACCUGUUCUAUAAUUCGACAGUCCACGCAUAAACCUUACCCCCUCUAGAUAUCAGCAUGUGUACUGCCGUCCAAUAAGCCCCUAAAGCAACUUAUAAUAAUUAACCAAACAUACGUCAGGUCAAAGUGCAGCUUACCGGGGGGGAAAGAAUGGGUCACAGCCUAUACUAUAGCAAAAAGUAAAUUAAUUGCUAAUUUAUAAUUCAGGACUUGAUAGUAACUUUGUUUAAGUAGCAAAUUGAAUAGGAACCUAAAACAAGCACACAUCGCCCGUCACUCCCUUAUACUGGAUAAGUCGUAACAUAGUAGGUGUAAUGGAAAUUGCAUCUGU